AUGCAAACUUCCUUGACAAUCUGGCUCCAAUAUUAUAUUUCAAACUUCUAUCCCAAAGGAGAUUGGACCAUAUCUCCUGGGCUAUGUUUUGCUCAAACAGGCCUCUAUAUUCUUCCUUCCCAGUCCAGCCUGCAGAGACAAUGGAGCCCAGGGUACAGGAGGGAGAGGAACCCAAAUGUCCGAAUGCACCCGUGUCUGAGGUCAUCCUUCCUUUGAGAUACCUGCGACGAUGACUCCAGCUCCUCAAGUUUUCCCUCUCCAGGAAACUGAGUGUUGGAGAAAGAAUCUGCUGAAGGCUCCACAGCUGUCAAGUGGCAGAGUCAGGAUGUGAACUUCUGCCAGCAGGCUUCUGCCUUCACACCUAUGUCGAGCACCAACUGUAUGCCAAAGCCAAGCUAGACGUUGAGAUUGUGAAGCCAAAUAAAGGGGCUGAAUCCCAGCCA
rnacentral:lncRNA from 13 species